rnacentral:rRNA from 1 species
GAAAAGUGCGGGGAUGAGGUGUGGGUAGCGGAGAAAUUCCAAUCGAACUUGGAGAUAGCUGGUUCUCUCCGAAAUAGCUUUAGGGCUAGCCUCGAGGUAAAGAGUCAUGGAGGUAGAGCACUGUUUGGACUAGGGGCCCUUCUCGGGUUACCGAAUUCAGAUAAACUCCGAAUGCCAUGUACUUAUACUCGGGAGUCAGACUGCGAGUGAUAAGAUCCGUAGUCGAAAGGGAAACAGCCCAGACCACCAGUUAAGGUCCCCAAAUAUAUGUUAAGUGGAAAAGGAUGUGGGGUUGCUUAGACAACCAGGAUGUUGGCUUAGAAGCAGCCACCAUUGAAAGAGUGCGUAAUAGCUCACUGGUCGAGUGACCCCGCGCCGAAAAUGUACCGGGGCUAAACAUAUUACCGAAACUGUGGAUGAACCUCUUUAGAGGUUCGUGGUAGGAGAGCGUUCUAAGGGCGGUGAAGUCAGACCGGAAGGACUGGUGGAGCGCUUAGAAGUGAGAAUGCCGGUAUGAGUAGCGAAAGAAGGGUGAGAAUCCCUUCCACCGAAUAUCUAAGGUUU